CAACUUCUUCAAUUCUCUUAGUCAAAGUGAUGGGGUAGGUAAGGAGGGGACUGUACCAGAAUCCUUAUUGAAAAAAGCUCGUAAAACCGGUUCACUGAACCUGUCAAACAGGGGCAUUAGUGUUAUUCCUCCUAAACUGUGGAGACUCAAUAUUGAUCCUCCUGAUGGUAGUACUGCUUCAUUUGAUGUUGAUGAGAGAUGGUGGGACCAGGUGGAACUGACUAGACUGGAUCUAUCAUCUAACGAAAUCAAAGAAAUAUCUGAAGAUAUUGAAAACUUUAAUUGAUUGUCAGCGCUUGAGGUCCAGUACAAUGAGUUAACAUGUCUACCUAAUAAUGUGAUCAAACUGGAUAAACUAUCUAAAAUAUUUGCAAGUCUCUCCUAUAUGUUAGGAAGGUUUGAGUCUCUUCAUUAUCUUCUCUUUGAUGUUCUCCUCUUAAUUAAAUGAAUGAGACCUGACAUCCUCCGGAAAGGAACAGUAUUGGUCCUCUAGUAUCUCUUGUAUUGAAGAACCAGGAGACCACAUGUGACGGCCAACCUCUCCCUCGUCCCUCAAGAUCCCCUCGUGACCAUACAAGUAAGGAUGAGGAGUGGGUGGAGUGAGGGGAGGUGUGGUAAGAAAGGAAGUUGUGAUGAUGAAAGCUAUGCUACCUCCUGAGUUAUGGUAUACUGUUACUGUUCUUAUGGGGUACCCAAUGUAUGCUCCUUUUCAUCAAAGAGGGUAAGUCAUGUUACUUCUCAUGAUGUCAUUCCAUUCUUUCUCUCUUGAUCCU